rnacentral:rRNA from 1 species
AACGAACGCUGGCGGCAUGCCUAACACAUGCAAGUCGAACGAGACCUUCGGGUCUAGUGGCGCACGGGUGCGUAACGCAUGGGAACCUGCCCUUAGGUUCGGAAUAACUCCCCGAAAGGGGUGCUAAUACCGGAUAAUGUCUUCGGACUAAAGAUUUAUCGCCUUUGGAUGGGCCCGCGUUGGAUUAGCUAGUUGGUAGGGUAAAAGCCUACCAAGGCGACGAUCCAUAGCUGGUCUGAGAGGAUGAUCAGCCACACUGGGACUGAGACACGGCCCAGACUCCUACGGGAGGCAGCAGUGGGGAAUAUUGGACAAUGGGCGAAAGCCUGAUCCAGCAAUGCCGCGUGAGUGAUGAAGGCCUUAGGGUUGUAAAGCUCUUUUACCCGGGAUGAUAAUGACAGUACCGGGAGAAUAAGCUCCGGCUAACUCCGUG